rnacentral:lncRNA from 1 species
CUCAUAAAGUCUUCUCCUGAAAACAUCUGUCCGCAGACCUAUUCUGCCAGUUUUUCCAGAGCACAGAGCACCUCACUCCUGAUCUCUGCUCUGAGCUCCUUUCGGGGGUGCUGAAGGUCAGCAGCUGCAGUGGUUCAUGAUUCAGUCCAUGUAGAGGCAGAUGGCAGGUGCCAAUGCCCAGUUCACAGCCAGGGCAGAGAAGAAGUCUAAGAGGGAGUGUGCGCUUUUUUCCCUUCCUCCUUUUGAGAUUUGCUGUUCUAAAUGUGCUCAUCCCACAGGGAAUUCCAUUCUUUCUGACCUAAAACCCAACCAUAUUCCUUGUUCCAUGCUACCUCCCACAGCAGGCACUUAAAAAGUCUCCAUAACCUCCGAGGUUAAGUCCAACAUCCUUAGCAUGGUCUUCCGGUCCUUUUCAACUUGAUCUGAGAGGCUCUAUCUGGAAUCAUUUUAUCUAAGACUUCCUCUGUCCAUCCUCACCCCCGUCCUCCCUGAACAACAGGUAUAUUCAUGUCAUUGCACGUGGUGUUUUUCUCUGUCUGAAAUGUCCUUUCCCCAUUUUUCUAUGGGGAUGUCAUUUCUUUUCUUCCUUGCUAGGAAGGCCCCUAAUAUUCCUUUCAAAUUCAGCUCCACUGUCACAGUUAUUCAGUCAACCAUAUUUAUGUAGGGAGCAUUGUAUGUCUCUAUAAAGUCCCUUUGAUAGAGGAGAUAGGGAUAAAAACACCCUCCUCCAGGCUCCUGAUAUAUCUUGUAACAACAUUUGCCACAGUAUAUCAAAAUGUAUGUAAGUAACACCCAUGCCCCGGUGUAUGUCUGAUAUUUGCACUUCAUGCCCAACCCAGUGCUUGCUAUAUAGUAGGGUCUCAGCUCACACUAGAUCCUCAUAGAUGGUGCUCAGUUCCUAGGAGAUGCUUGACAAAUAGUGGAGGGCGGAGUUCCCGUUGUAGCACAGUGGAAAUGAAUCUGUCUAGGAAUCAUGAGGUUGCGGGUUUGAUCCCUGGCCUCUCUCAGUGGGUUAAGAAUCUGGCAUUGCCAGAUGUUACCUUGAGCUGUGGUAUAGGUUAUGGACAUGAAUCAGAUCUGAUGUUGCUAUGGGUAUGGGCAUAGUCUGGCAGCUAUAGCUUCAAUUAGAUCCCUAGCCUGAGAACCUACAUAUGCUGUGGGUGUGACCCU